GUGUCAGCAGCCGCGGUAAUACGGGGGGGGCAAGCGUUGUUCGGAAUUACUGGGCGUAAAGGGCCAGUAGGCGGCCAACUAAGUCGGAUGUGAAAUCCCCAGGCUUAACCUGGGAACUGCAUCCGAUACUGGAUGGCUUGAAUUCGGGAGAGGGAUGCAGAAUUCCAGGUGUAGCGGUGAAAUGCGUAGAUAUCUGGAGGAAUACCGGUGGCGAAGGCGGCAUCCUGGACCGACAUUGACGCUGAACGGCGAAAGCUAGGGGAGCAAACGGGAUUAGAAACCCUCGUAGUCC
rnacentral:rRNA from 1 species